rnacentral:rRNA from 1 species
GAUGAACGCUGGCGGCGUGCCUAAUACAUGCAAGUCGAGCGAACGGACGAGAAGCUUGCUUCUCUGAUGUUAGCGGCGGACGGGUGAGUAACACGUGGAUAACCUACCUAUAAGACUGGGAUAACUUCGGGAAACCGGAGCUAAUACCGGAUAAUAUUUUGAACCGCAUGGUUCAAAAGUGAAAGACGGUCUUGCUGUCACUUAUAGAUGGAUCCGCGCUGCAUUAGCUAGUUGGUAAGGUAACGGCUUACCAAGGCAACGAUGCAUAGCCGACCUGAGAGGGUGAUCGGCCACACUGGAACUGAGAGACGGUCCAGACUCCUACGGGAGGCAGCAGUAGGGAAUCUUCCGCAAUGGGCGAAAGCCUGACGGAGCAACGCCGCGUGAGUGAUGAAGGUCUUCGGAUCGUAAAACUCUGUUAUUAGGGAAGAACAUAUGUGUAAGUAACUGUGCACAUCUUGACGGUACCGAAUCAGAAAGCCACGGCUAACUACGU